rnacentral:lncRNA from 7 species
AUGAGGACCUUGAGCCUUCUGGAGCAGAGCUCUGCAACCCGGGGCACCCCAUCCCUGUCCCCCCCCCAGCAGCGCAGUGCUGGGACGUAUGGCAGAGCCUGCAGUGCCUCUCCUGACACUGUCGAUGUCCGUGGGACGGCCGUGACUCCCGCUGAGGGCAGAGCUCUGGCUGCAGAUCCCAGCUUGGGAGGCUCCAGAUUUGCUGCUCCCCACGCAAGGAUGGUGGAACGCGGAGCGUGGAGCUGCUGGGGGCCACAGUGGGGCAGCAGGAGCAGCUCCAGCUCUGUGUGCACCGAGGAUGUGGCUGCCAGGUGUUGGGAGGGCACAGUGGGGACCUCCGAGGAGGAGGAGGAGGAGGAGGAUGGCAGCGGGCAGGAUGGGGCCCCGCUCCUGUGGCAGUGCCCCUGGCAGGACAUGUCCCCAGGGCUGAUGAGGAGGGGGAGUCUGGAGUCGCUGGGAGCCAGGAUAUCCAGGCUGAGCCAGAGUGGGGCUGUGACCCCCUGCCCGGCCCCCUCCGGGCACCCAGCGCAGGGCAGGGGGGAUGCAUCCCACUGGGGCUCAAGCUCCAGGGCAAAGCCCUCAGUCACCACUGUGCAUGGUGGGGAUGGGGACGCUGGACAUCUCCGGAGACCCUCAGGCAGCUCAGCCAGCAGGAGCAGGGCCAGGGCCAUGGGACACUGCAGAUGGCAGGAGCCACCAGCACGCCGGGGGUGGCAUGGAGGGGACGUCACCCUCACUGCAGAGAAGGAAGGAGAUGGCGACGGGCGGAGGAGAGCUCUCUGCACCAAAGCAGCAGUGGGACCCACCAGGAGAUGCAGCCCCUGGGCAGAGGGGCAGCACGAGGUGUCCUGCCCAGGGCAUGCAGCCAAGCCCCGGUGGCAGCGUUGGAAGCAGAAGGCCAUCCUGUCCCAUAGGCUGGCAGCGCUGCGCCGGGCCCUGAGGAGCAGCCAGGAGGGGAUGCAGGAGCCAGGAGCUGGAGCUCAGGGCAUGCAGAGCGAUGGGGAUGGGGCCAGGGCACGUGCGUGGGAUUGUGUGGAUGUGGAGGAGGUGCAGGGGCAGAAGGGCUGUGCUGAACGCCCAGGGAAGGUGAGGAGGAAAACGUUGGAUCUCAGAGAAGAGAAGAGGGAGCUGCAGGAGAGGCUCUGUGGGUUGGAGCUCCAGAUGCUCUCCAUGCUGCGGCAGAGGCAGGAGGCCCUGGGGCAGCUGCGGGCAGUGCUGCAGAAGGAGAGGAUGGCCACACUCAGGCAGCUGCAGGAGAGCCUGGAGAAGGUGAAUGGGACCAUCUGUGUCUGUCAGAACUGUCACCCAGAGGAGCUGGCAGCCCCAGGAGCCCUGAAGGAGCCACUGACCCCAGAGAGAGCCCUGCGGGAGGCAGCGACGUGUGUGUGGGAUCCAGCCCGGCCACCAUCUCCUUCCCCUUCUACACCUGGGUUGAGCCAUGCCACAGCAGCAGCACACGGCGCUGGGGAUCCUGCACCACAUCCAGCGCUGCCUGCGGGAGCUGCAAGUAGAGGACCUCGGUGUGCUGGGAGCAGAGCUGGGCACCACAGCAAAUGAGGAGAGGUUCCUGAUGCCACCUCUUGACAUUCCUCCAAGCCCCAACAGGAACAAGCUCGCUGCUGCGACCAGGACUCGAGAUGAAGCAUGGAG